rnacentral:rRNA from 1 species
GUGGGGAAUUUUGGACAAUGGGCGCAAGCCUGAUCCAGCCAUGCCGCGUGUGUGAAGAAGGUCUUCGGAUUGUAAAGCACUUUAAGUUGGGAGGAAGGGCAGUAAGUUAAUACCUUGCUGUUUUGACGUUACCGACAGAAUAAGCACCGGCUAACUUCGUGCCAGCAGCCGCGGUAAUACGAAGGGUGCAAGCGUUAAUCGGAAUUACUGGGCGUAAAGCGCGCGUAGGUGGUUCAGCAAGUUGGAGGUGAAAUCCCCGGGCUCAACCUGGGAACUGCCGCCAAAACUACUGAGCUAGAGUACGGUAGAGGGUAGUGGAAUUUCCUGUGUAGCGGUGAAAUGCGUAGAUAUAGGAAGGAACACCAGUGGCGAAGGCGACUACCUGGACUGAUACUGACACUGAGGUGCGAAAGCGUGGGGAGCAAACAGGAUUAGAUACCCUUGUAGUCC